rnacentral:tRNA from 1 species
GAGGGUAUAGCUCAAGUGGUAGAGUGCAUGCUUAGCAUGCACGAGGUCCUGGGUUCAGUCCCCAGUACCUCCU